rnacentral:rRNA from 1 species
UACAGAGGUCUCAAGCGUUGUUCGGAUUCAUUGGGCGUAAAGGGUGUGUAGGUGGCGCGCUAAGUCGGGUGUGAAAUUUCGGAGCUUAACUCCGAAACUGCAUUCGAUACUGGCGUGCUUGAGGACUGGAGAGGAGACUGGAAUUUACGGUGUAGCGGUGAAAUGCGUAGAUAUCGUAAGGAAGACCAGUGGCGAAGGCGGGUCUCUGGACAGUUCCUGACACUGAGGCACGAAGGCCAGGGGAGCAAACGGGG